CCUUGCAAAGGAUUUUUCUGAAUAUCCUUUGCUCUAUAGGAAACUCAUGUUCUGUGUGGAAGACUCCAGCUGUCUGGACACCUUUACUACCCAGUAACAGCAGAACACAUGGAGCUACUCAACAGUAGAAGAACCUCAAAUGUGGACUGGAAUGACAUGAGGACAAAGACUAUUCUGCUUCCCCUAAAAAGAAACAAAAACAGAGCCUAUAGCAGGAGUCAUAGUAUUCAUGGAUUGAGGCAGUAGCAUGUACCAUCAUUGAGAAUUUAUUUUUGAAGACAGGAGAAACAUCUUCAGAGAUCCUAGAGGGUACACACCUUU